UAGGGAAUCUUCCGCAAUGGGCGAAAGCCUGACGGAGCAACGCCGCGUGAGUGAUGAAGGUCUUCGGAUCGUAAAACUCUGUUAUUAGGGAAGAACAUAUGUGUAAGUAACUGUGCACAUCUUGACGGUACCUAAUCAGAAAGCCACGGCUAACUACGUGCCAGCAGCCGCGGUAAUACGUAGGUGGCAAGCGUUAUCCGGAAUUAUUGGGCGUAAAGCGCGCGUAGGCGGUUUUUUAAGUCUGAUGUGAAAGCCCACGGCUCAACCGUGGAGGGUCAUUGGAAACUGGAAAACUUGAGUGCAGAAGAGGAAAGUGGAAUUCCAUGUGUAGCGGUGAAAUGCGCAGAGAUAUGGAGGAACACCAGUGGCGAAGGCGACUUUCUGGCCUGUAACUGACGCUGAUGUGCGAAAGCGUGGGGAUCAAACAGGAUUAGAUACCCUGGUAGUCCACGCCGUAAACGAUGAGUGCUAAGUGUUAGGGGGUUUCCGCCCCUUAGUGCUGCAGCUAACGCAUUAAGCACUCCGCCUGGGGAGUACGACCGCAAGGUUG
rnacentral:rRNA from 1 species